rnacentral:rRNA from 1 species
GGAGGGUGCGAGCGUUAAUCGGAAUUACUGGGCGUAAAGCGCGCGUAGGCGGUUGGAUUAGUCGAAUGUGAAAGCCCCGGGCUUAACCUGGGAAUUGCGUUCGAUACUACCCAACUAGAGUAUGGGAGAGGGAAGCGGAAUUUCCGGUGUAGCGGUGAAAUGCGUAGAUAUCGGAAGGAACACCAGUUGCGAAGGCGGCUUCCUGGCCCAAUACUGACGCUCAGGUGCGAAAGCGUGGGGUAGCGAACAGGAUUAGAUACCCGUGGGUAGUCCACGCCGUAAACGAUGAGAACUAGAUGUUGGAAGGAUUUGCCCUCUCAGUGUCGCAGCUAACGCGUUUAAGUUCUCCGCCUGGGGAGUACGGCCGCAAGGCUG